GUAAUUGUUCUCCGCUCAAAGCGAAGAUCAACUGCAUCAUUGUUUACUUCAACGGUGAUAAUGACAACGGCGAACAGUUCAACCCGAGAACAUUCUAACGUCAAUUCAUUUUACAAUGUGCUCUGCAUCGGGCCCCAUACCGGUUACUCCAUGUGAAUCUUUUGCCACCUGCCACCCCCGACCCCCCUUUUCCCUUUUUUCGCUGCUUCGACAAGUCUGGUGUAAAAGAACUUUUUUUCGUUCUCGACACUUUUGUCAUCUGCCUUUCCUUCUGGCUGAUCCAAGCAACGUUUCGUCGUGUUAUCAUCACCCUCUUCCCUUUUUCGGACGCUUGGCCAUUUUGCUGCUGCUGCUGCUAUCAUUGCGGCUGUUGUUGUCCUUCAAUCAGAUAUGUCUACAGACGUUUCAACAAUCUUUUGCAGAAUGGCGAAUGUUAAACAACGCGAUCGGAAAUACGCUGUCAACCUAUCACCCCCCUCCGUAUGUACCCCACCAGCGUGUCGUUCGUACGUUCGUCUACCUAAAAAGUUAUGGCCUAUCGAAGGUGCGAAUCAAAUGAGUAUUUACAAAAAAAUGUGUCUCGUGACGGCAUUCGGUGCGGUUUGAACGAACGAGCGCACAGUUUUUUUCAUUUUUCCUCGCAUUGACCCGUCUGACGCGACGUUAUUCUGUACGCGACAUCGCAUCAGCUAUUCUAUGAUCAGGCGCAUUGAUAUUGAUUAUCUAUUUGGCGCCUCUUUGAAGUUGACCUCUCUGACGGAACCACAGCCGAAAUUCGUAAAUAUUUCCUGUCGAGGUUUGCUAGUCGACGCUAUUCAUAAUGAAGCCGUAUAAUGAAAUUCCACGCUACCGACAUCAUCCAUGCGGCAGUGCCGUCUCCUCGCCGCUAUGACCAUUGCUAGCGAAUAAUAGAGUGUACGAACUUCACGCCAAUAGUCGACGCUCAUAAAACGGCAGUUCACAGAUCAAACAGCAAGAAUCGAGUUAAAUCAAGUUACGGCAAAGGCCCGCAAUAGUUUAAAUACAUGCGUAAAAAAGAUAGAUAAAUGAAGCGGCGGUGUUGGGAAACGCUACACUAAUUGGAGAUCGUUGCAAAAGGAUGGGAAGACAGACGAACAGCUGAAGGAAGUACAGGAAAAAAGGAUAUCGGUACGAAGAUCUUCGAUUAGAAUCGAUCGGCGACAGCAGACCGCUAACAUCGACUAGGAAAUACUGGAGUGGCUUCAACAAACGAUCAUGGUUGUGAAAUCAGCCAACAGCAAGAUAGAUAGCUGAAAUCGCGAUAUCUGAGAAACAACUGGGGACAGGUAUGGCGUAUUUUUCGUCGAGGAGACGCCCUACGCAAAGCGGCUUGCAAAAAAAAUAAUAAGAUUCGAAGUCAGCAAGAACGACACGAGACCAAUUGGCCGUCUUCGGAGGAAUUUGAGCAACAGGCAGAAGUGGGACGUGACCAUCGUCGUAGAACGUGUUGCAGCUGUGGGGAACUGUGAACUUGGAGAAAAAAGGCAGAAUCGACUUUUCUUUUUGCUUCCUUUUUCAACAUUUGGCUGUA
rnacentral:lncRNA from 1 species